GGGUCAAUAAUGAGGACUUUAUAUUGCCUUGAGGAGUGGUGAUGACUUAAAUAUCAUGUACAAUGGCAUGAUGCUGAGACCC
rnacentral:snoRNA from 1 species